GGAACUUGAGUACAGAAGAGGAGAGCGGAAUUCCACGUGUAGCGGUGAAAUGCGUAGAUAUGUGGAGGAACACCAGUGGCGAAGGCGGCUCUCUGGUCUGUGACUGACGNUGAGGCGCGAAAGCAUGGGUAGCGAACAGGAUUAGAUACCCUGGUAGUCCAUGCCGUAAACGAUGAGUGCUAGGUGUUAGGGGGUCCAACCCUUAGUGCUGCAGUUAACGCAAUAAGCACUCCGCCUGGGGAGUACGGCCGCAAGGCUGAAACUCAAAGGAAUUGACGGGGGCCCGCACAAGCGGUGGAGCAUGUGGUUUAAUUCGACGCAACGCGAAGAACCUUACCAGGUCUUGACAUCUUCGGACCACCCUAGAGAUAGGGUNUUCCCUUCGGGGACCGAAUGACAGGUGGUGCAUGGUUGUCGUCAGCUCGUGUCGUGAGAUGUUGGGUUAAGUCCCGCAACGAGCGCAACCCUUAACCUUAGUUGCCAGCAUUCAGUUGGGCACUCUAAGGUGACUGCCGGUGACAAACCGGAGGAAGGUGGGGAUGACGUCAAAUCAUCAUGCCCCUUAUGACCUGGGCUACACACGUGCUACAAUGGAUGGUACAAAGGGAAUGCGAAACCGCGAGGUCAAGCCAAUCCCAUAAAGCCAUUCUCAGUUCGGAUUGUAGGCUGCAACUCGCCUGCAUGAAGCCGGAAUCG
rnacentral:rRNA from 1 species